CAACCUCAACUCAUAUGGGACUACCCCCUGAAUUUAAGCAUAUUAAUUAGGGGAGGAAAAGAAACUAACAAGGAUUUUCUUAGUAGCGGCGAGCGAAAAGAAAUCAGUUCAGCACUAAGUCACUUUGUCUAUAUGGCAAAUGUGAGAUGCAGUGUACGGAACAUCAACAUUCUAGUAUGAGAAGUUAACGAUUUAAGUCCUUCUUAAAUGAGGCCAUUUACCCAUAGAGGGUGCCAGGCCCGUAUAACGUUAAUGAUUACUAGAUGGUGUUUCCAAAGAGUCGUGUUGCUUGAUAGUGCAGCACUAAGUGGGUGGUAAACUCCAUCUAAAACUAAAUAUAACCAUGAGACCGAUAGUAAACAAGUACCGUGAGGGAAAGUUGAAAAGAACUCUGAAUAGAGAGUUAAAUAGUACGUGAAACUGCUUAGAGGUUAAGCCCGAUGAACCUGAAUAUCCGUUAUGGAAAAUUCAUCAUUAGAAUUGUAAUAUUUUAAACAAUAUUAUAAUAAUAGUGUGCAUUUUUUCCAUAUAAGGACAUUGUAAUCUAUUAGCAUAAAUAUUUAUCAUAAAAUUAUGUCUGAUUGCUUAUUUGA
rnacentral:ncRNA from 1 species